rnacentral:ribozyme from 14 species
AUGAACAUGACAACAAACGCAAACAAGAAACAAGGCAAAGCAGUGUGGAAAUUGCCAUGGGUUGUAUUCUUCAUCUUCCUAUACAUUUAUAUUCUAUUUUUGAUCAACUAUUCCAUUAUUCGGCGGUAUUACAUCCGAAUGGAGUGGAAUGAGGCUCUGCCAGGUUUGGACAAGACAUUCAUGAGAAAAGU